rnacentral:misc_RNA from 1 species
CAGCUUGUUUGUUAGUUCUUAUGGGUUCCCAAAGGAUAAUUAAUAUGCUGCCUGUGUGCAAUGAGCCGCAAUAGAAGGCGUCUUAUUUAUUUAUUUAUUUUUACCUUUUUUACCCUGAAAAAUUGGAAUUCUUUUCAAUCAUACCUUUGUUGUUUACUUCCAAUGACUUGUGAGGAUUUACAUUCCCUGUUAGAACUGAGUCUGUUUGCAAUGCUUAUUCACUAAAGAAGUGCCCUGAUUAUCCUUUCUUUGAAUGAAUUAGCUACUACAUUUAGG